AAGUAGCAAUCCCUGGUAAAUCAUUGCCGAACAGUUUUGAUUCAGGGACUUCUGCGUAGACUGUGCUUGAGCGUGAGGCAAGUGGCCUGGCAUUCCUCUGCUUGUUGGUGUCUGAAAGUGUCACCAGCUCUGUACGAAUGGCGCAGUCACGAUCGCUAGAGGCCGACACGGCCGGCGACCGGGUCACUGGGCGCGAGCCCCCCUCGUCACCUUUGCAUGAAAACGGGCCUGCGCUUAAUUGUGCGGCCACCAAACUCGAACAACUGUUAACAAUGGAUAUCUUGGUUCUC
rnacentral:misc_RNA from 1 species